GGGUGGGUAGCUUAGUGGUUAGGGCUUAGGUCUCGUAACUGGAAGGUCCUGGGAUCGAAUCCCGCUAGAGGCA
rnacentral:tRNA from 1 species